ensembl:lncRNA KLHL30-AS1 KLHL30 antisense RNA 1
CCAUCCAUACACAUGCUUUCAGCUGGAUCAACUGAUGGCCCAACCAACUGGAGUAGUGGCCUCUCUCCGUGAACGCACCAGCGUUACUGCACCAUGCCAUGCCUGAGGGAUCCGCCCCCAUGAUCUAAACGCCUCCCACCAGGCCCAACUCCAACACCAGCGAUCAGACUCAACAGACUCAACAUGAGAUUCGGAGGGGACAGAUCUCCAAGCUAUGUCAUGGUCUAUACUGACUAUGGAAAACUGUCAGGUGACCAGUCCAUUUAAUUACAGUCACAUGAGGGUGUCAAUGGCCUGAUCCCAGCAACCACUGUCCCUGCCUGAAUAGAGAAGAUGCCAGAUAAUAAAA